rnacentral:rRNA from 1 species
GAUGAACGCUGGCGGCGUGCUUAAUACAUGCAAGUCGAGCGACCACACGAGGAGAUUGUUCUUUUGCCGUUAGCGGCGGACGGGCGAGUAACACGUGGAUAACCUUCUUCUUAUUCUGGGAUAACAUCGGGAAAACAGUGCUACUACUGGAUCAUAUAACCUACCGCUUGAUUCAAUAGUGAUUGACAGCUUUGCCGUCACUUUUAGCUGGAUCCGCGCCGCAUUAGCUAGUUGGUAAGGUAACGGCUUACCAAGGCGACGAUGCGUAGCCGACCUGAGAGGGUGAUCAGCCACACUGGAACUGAGACACGGUCCAGACUCCUACGGGAGGCAGCAGUAGGGAAUCUUCGGCAAUGGGCGAAAGCCUGACGGAGCAACACCGCGUGGGUGAAGAAGGUCUUCGGAUCGUAAAGCUCUGUUGUUAGGAAAGAACAGAGGUAUGUGAAUCUAUGCACGUCUUGACGGUACCUAAAGAGAAAGCCACGGCUAACUACGUG